AUUGAACGCUGGCGGCAUGCCUUACACAUGCAAGUCGAACGGCAGCACGGGAGCAAUCCUGGUGGCGAGUGGCGAACGGGUGAGUAAUAUAUCGGAACGUGCCCAGUAGUGGGGGAUAACUGCUCGAAAGAGCAACUAAUACCGCAUACGACCUGAGGGUGAAAGGGGGGGAUCGCAAGACCUCUCGCUAUUGGAGCGGCCGAUAUCAGAUUAGCUAGUUGGUGGGGUAAAGGCCUACCAAGGCAACGAUCUGUAGUUGGUCUGAGAGGACGACCAGCCACACUGGGACUGAGACACGGCCCAGACUCCUACGGGAGGCAGCAGUGGGGAAUUUUGGACAAUGGGCGCAAGCCUGAUCCAGCAAUGCCGCGUGCAGGAAGAAGGCCUUCGGGUUGUAAACUGCUUUUGUCAGGGAAGAAAUCCUCUAGGUUAAUACCCUUGGGGGGAUGACGGUACCUGAAGAAUAAGCACCGGCUAACUACGUGCCGGCAGCCGCGGUAAAAC
rnacentral:rRNA from 1 species